GGAGCAUGUGGUUUAAUUCGAUGAUACGCGAGGAACCUUUACCAGGGCUUGACAUACAGAGGGAUGAGCAAGAGAUUGUUCAGCCUGGCAACAGGCCUCUGUACAGGGUGCUGCAUGGCUGUCGUCAGCUCGUGCUGUGAAGUGUUGGGUUAAGUCCCGCAACGAGCGCAACCCCUACUUUUAGUUACCAACAGGUAAAGCUGGGGACUCUAGAAGGACUGCCGGUGACAAACCGGAGGAAGUGGGGACGACGUCAAGUCAUCAUGGCCUUUAUGUCCUGGGCUACACACGUGCUACAAUGGUCGGUACAGAGCGAAGCGAAGCCGAGAGGUGGAGCGAAACGCAGAAAGCCGAUCUUAAGUACGGAUUGAAGUCUGAAACUCGACUUCAUGAAGUUGGAAUCGCUAGUAAUCGCGCAUCAGCAUGGCGCGGUGAAUACGUUCCCGGGCCUU
rnacentral:rRNA from 1 species